rnacentral:rRNA from 1 species
AUUGAACGCUGGCGGCAUGCUUUACACAUGCAAGUCGAACGGUAACAGGCCGCAGGGUGCUGACGAGUGGCGAACGGGUGAGUAAUGCAUCGGAACGUGCCCAGUCGUGGGGGAUAACGCAGCGAAAGCUGUGCUAAUACCGCAUACGAUCUAUGGAUGAAAGCGGGGGACCGUAAGGCCUCGCGCGAUUGGAGCGGCCGAUGUCAGAUUAGGUAGUUGGUGGGGUAAAGGCUCACCAAGCCAACGAUCUGUAGCUGGUCUGAGAGGACGACCAGCAGCCAUGGAACGGAGACACGGCCCGGACUCCGACGGGAGGCAGCAGUGGGGAAUUUUGGACAAUGGGCGCAAGCCUGAUCCAGAAAUGCCGCGUGCAGGAAGAAGGCCUUCGGGUUGUAAACUGCUUUUGUACGGAACGAAACGGUCUGGGUUAAUACCCUGGGCUAAUGACGGUACCGUAAGAAUAAGCACCGGCUAACUACGUGCCAGCCGCCGCGGUAAGAC